rnacentral:rRNA from 1 species
CCCUUAGAUGUUCUGGGCUGCACGCGUGCUACAAUGGCGUUUCCAGCAAGUCUGCGAACCCGAGAGGGCCAGCGGAUCUUCGAAUUGGCGUCGUGAUCGGGACAGUCGAUUGCAAUUAUUUGACUCAAACGAGGAAUUCCUUGUAAUCGCGAUUCAUCAUAUCGCGCUGAAUACGUCCCUGCCCUUUGUACACACCGCCCGUCGCUCCUACCGAUUGAGUGGUCCGGUGAGGCUUUGGGAUCUGAGCGGAAAGAGCGUUUCGCUGUUUCUGCUCGGAAAACUCAGUCGAACCUUAUCAUUUAGAGGAAGGAGAAGUCGUAACA